rnacentral:rRNA from 1 species
AUUGAACGCUGGCGGCAUGCCUUACACAUGCAAGUCGAACGGAUCAGAGGGGCUUGCUCCUUUGGUUAGUGGCGAACGGGUGAGUAAAGCAUCGGAACGUACCCAGUUGUGGGGGAUAACGUAGCGAAAGUUACGCUAAUACCGCAUACGCACUGAGGUGGAAAGCGGGGGACCGAAAGGCCUCGCGCAAUUGGAGCGGCCGAUGUCGGAUUAGCUAGUUGGUGAGGUAAAGGCUCACCAAGGCGACGAUCCGUAGCUGGUCUGAGAGGACGACCAGGCACGCAGGAACUGAGACACGGUCCAGACGCCUACGGGAGGGAGCAGUGGGGAAUGUUGGACAAUGGGCGAAAGCCCGAUCCAGCCAUGCCGCGUGAGUGAAGAAGGCCUUCGGGUUGUAAAGCUCUUUCAGACGGAAAGAAAUCUUUCGGGUGAAUAUCCCGGAAGGAUGACGGUACCGUAAGAAGAAGCACCGGCUAACUACGUGCCAGCCGCCGCGGUAA